GAAUGAAACAGAAUAAAACAGAAGGAAAAAGGGAAACCAAUUCUUAACUUUGGACAUCAUACUCAUCCCUAGUUAUAAGAGAGUCAAGUCACAGGUAUCCCCAAGGACUGAAAGAAAAGGGACUAUACCGAGUUGGAGAGUUGAGCGAGGUUCUGUCGAGGUUCCAGUCUACGACUCUGUCAUUACAUCAAAAAUAAAAAUUAUAAGUUAAAACAUAAAUGAAAUUACAAAAUUCCUAUCUAUGCGACUUCUUUUGGACUCUUGACUUGAGUUUCAUCACCCUAUUCUUCAGGCGGGCUCCUGACUUGUAAUUUCUUCAACUUUUUGCCUGACUUUCAAUUUCUUCACCCUGUUCUCUAGGUGGGCUCCUGACUUGCUAUUUUUCAAUUUGUGGACUUUCAAUUUCUUCACCUUGUUAUUUGACUUUCAAUUUAUUCUCCCUGUGCUUCAGGCGGGUUCCAAUGUUGCUUGAAUUAUCAAAACAAGGAAGUGUGCUGCUUACAAAUGCCGCUUGAAUUACCCAAACAAGGAAGUGCGUCUCCUUACAAAUUCCGGUUGAAUUACCCAAACAAGAAAGUGCAUCUCCUUACAAAUGUCGAUUGAAUUACCCAAACAAGGAAGUGCGUCUCCUUACAAAUGCUACUUGAAUUUUGAAAUAAGAAAGUACGUCUCAUUUCCAAUGCCGCUUGAAUUACCUAAAUAAGGAAGUGCGUCUCCUUACAAAUGCCCAUUGAAUUACCAAAAUAAGGAAGUACGUCUCCUUACAAAUGCCGCUUGAAUUACCAAAAUAAGAAAGUGCGUCUCCUUACCAAUGCCUGUUGAAUUACCCAAAUAAGGAAGUGCAUCUCUUUACAAAUGCCGCUUGAAUUACACAAACAAGGAAAUGUGUCUCCUUACAAAUGCCACUUGAAUUAACCAAACAAGAAAGUGCGUCUCCUUACCAAUGUUGCUUGAAAUGUCCAAACAAAGAAGUGCGUCCCCUUACAAAUACUACUUGAAUUACCAAACAAGGAAGUGCGUCUCCUAACAAAUGUUUCUUGACUUACCAAAACAAGGAAGUGCUUCUUCUUACCAAUGUAGCUUGAGUUACCCAAACAAGGAAGUGCGUCUCCUUACAAAUGCCACUUGAAUUACACAAACAAAGAAAUAUGUCUCCUUACAAAUACCACUUGAAUUAACCAAACAAGGAAGUGCGUCUCCUUACAAAUAUUGCUUGAAAUGUCCAAACAAGGAAGUGUGUCCCCUUACAAAUACCACUUGAAUUACCAAACAAGGAAGUGCAUCUCCUAACAAAUGUCUCUUGAAUUACCAAAACAAGGAAGUGCAUCUCCUUACCAACGCCGCUUGAAUUACCCAAACAAGAAAGUAUGUCUUCUUACAAAUACCGCUUGAAUUACACAAACAAAGAAAUGCGUCUCCUUACAAAUACCACUUGAAUUAACCAAAUAAGGAAGUGUGUCUCCUUACAAAUGUUGCUUGAAAUGUUCAAUAAAGAAAGUACGUCCCCUUACAAAUACCAUUUGAAUUACCAAACAAGGAAGUGCGUCUCCUAACAAAUGUCUCUUGAAUUACCAAAAAGAGGAAGUGCGUCACCUUACCAAUGCCGCUUGAAUUACCCAAACAAGGAAAUGUGUCUCCUUACAAUUGUCGCUUGAAUUACACAAACAAGGAAAUGUGUCUCCUUACAAAUGUCACUUGAAUUAACUAAACAAGAAAGUGUGUCUCCUUAUAAAUGUCGCUUGAAUUACCCAAACAAGGAAGUGCAUCUCCUUACAAAUAUUGCUUGGAUUACCCAAACAAGAAAGUGCAUCUCCUUACAAAUGUUGCUUGAAUUGCCCAAACAAGGAAGUUUGUUUCCUUACCAAUGUUGCUUGAAUUAACCAAACAAGAAAGUGCGUCUCCUUACAAAUAUUACUUGAAUUAUCCAGACAAGAAAGUGUGUCUCCUCACAAAUAUCACUUGAAUUAUCUAAACAAGGAAGCGCAUCUCCUUACAAAUGUCUCUUGAGUUAUCCAAACAAGGAAGUGUGUCUCCUAGAGAUAUUGGAUGAUGAGUUUUACCAUGGUUUUGAUUACCAAGCCUGUGCACAAUAUUGUCUCCUGCAUUUGUGGAAGUGAGACAUUGCAACUUUUCAUGUUUAGGCUUUGAAAUCCUUGAUUCGAAGGUAAUAUGUAUUCCUGUUUCAUACAAAGAAAACUUGUUAGUUUAAAAACAUGGUGGCUGAUUUGUGGCUUUGGCUUUUGUGGCAAUCGCUCUUACCCUUGUCACAUUAAUCUUGCUGUCAACCAUUAGCAUAUGUCAUUGACUCACUCCAUCAUUGAUUCGAACUUGGAUUAUCAAGAGUGACUCUGAAACAAACACAGUAUUUUUGCUUUGCCAUGCUUCUCAGAUAAACUCUUUGAGCCUUAAUAUUUCCAUAAGUUCCUAGACUUAUUUAUUGACAAAACUUUCAGCAUGCCUUAUUUCAGCUUACAAUCAUGUCUCUUUCAUGUGUUGGCCUUUUGUCUUGCUUUGUGUAAUUGAAGAAGCUGGUAGCCAGUUUUGAAAUCUUUUCUCACUUGUUUUGAUAUAGAGUUGACUCAAAGACAAGAGAAAAAUGACAAUGACUUUUAUUUGGAUAAUUGACUCGAGAAAACAAAAUAAAAAUAAAGAGAAGAAAGAAAAGACAAUGAAUGUCCCCAUUUGAAAUAAAGAAAUGAAAAAACUAUCUAGAAAUAACAAUCAACUCUAAUGAUUAUACCAUGUAUAUUGGAUCAAGCUUCCCGAUCUUUCCAUCCAAACUUUCUACCAAUUGUUCUUGAGUUAAUGGCUCUGAAACUAAGUUACUUGCUUGGACCCAUUGCAUUCUAAGAGCUCAUUCGGCUAGUGGCACAUUGAAGGAUUUUUGCCAACAAGUCUCUCAUUUUUCUCUCAACUCACCAUCGCCUUAUGAUGCCCAUGGUGCCCAUGGGUUUUCACCAAUAAAACUCUCUCAUUUUUAUCUCUCUCAACUUAUCAUUGCCUUAUGGUGCCCGUGAGGGUUUUCACCAAUAAAAUUCUCAUUUUUAUUUCUCUCCUAAUUUCUUAUGCAAAGAAAGACGAGUAGUUCCCAAAAUGUGUCAUCAUAUCCAUUGCAUGCUUAGUCUUAACAUUCUCAAAGAUUGAUCUGAAGGUCUUUCUUUGGUUGUAACUAAUUUUUUGGAGAGGGUUAGAAAGAAAGGAUGGCAUGGGGCCCAAAUAACACUUGAAGUGGGGUGACACUUACAAUUUUUGGAAUCGACUCAAACAAUGAGGAUACCUCAUGCCCCAGUUUAUUUUGACUAGGUGACUAUAAAUUGUUUAUUUGGUUGGACCGAGCCUCGGGUAGAGGAGCCUACGUAUCUCACCCCCGAGAGAAGAGAAUCAGGUCAUGCGUAGUUCUGACAGCUUGUUCUUUUACUUGAUUCUGAUUAUUUUUCCUUUUAUUGACUUUUUCUCUUUGGAACUUUUCUGACUCUAUUUUUCUGAAUAGAUUUUUACGAGACCUGCGAAGAGGAUAAUUUGUAAAAAAAAAAAAAAAACCAUACUUUUAGUUGACUUUCAUUCUAUAUAUUUCCAACAGUGAUUCGAAUCCAUAUUCUCUACUAAUUCUAGGUAGACACAAGCAACCACAUAUCGUAAUAUACAAGAUGAGUAACGAGUGAUGCGAGACGAGAUGAUUUGUAUAUUCCUAAAACUCAAUCUGUAAAUAAUAUAAAGAGAGUAGAUGAAACAAAUAUGCACCUAAAAGGGCGAUGUACAGUUGUGUGACUCCUCUAACUCAUAUGUAUUUGGUAAAAUAUAAAACAGGGGAGGAUAAACUCGUCACACUAAACAUCCAUAUAUUGAACAGUCGACAAUUUAAAACAAGGCCCCAUAUUCAGGAAUCGUAUUCGCAGAGAACAAGAAACAACACCAACAUAUACUUAAAAGCCAAAUAAGUUACAUAUUAACAUAGCCAAAAUAUAUGUAAGAGAAAAGGGAUGAAGGCCGAGUGAUGACCUUGUUUUGAGCAGCAAACUUGAGGCUUCAACGUCAAGUUUCCGGCUUGAGCUCGACUUUGGAACUCAAUCUCGGAAUCAAGAAAAUACCAAAGAUUUUUUAAAAAAUUGAAUGUGUGCUCUCCCCUCUCCGAAUUUGAAAUCUUAAUUUUCUCUCUUAUCCCCCGAAACCGUGAACCCCGUUUUGAACCUUUCUCAACGAAGUCCCUUUAUUUCGGAUUUCCCCCAAUUUUCUAAAUCUCCCUCUUCUAUUUUUGAACAUCCAAAAAACCCCCAAUCCAUUCACCCUCCAAUCAAAAACCUCCCCACCUCAAGAGUGAAAAAUGUAACUAUUUAUCGGCAAAUCCGGACUUGAAAGUCCGGAUUUGAAACCAAAAAUUUGCAGGGGCCAACGGGCAAAUCGAAGGGGAGGAAAUCAAAAUUUAAAAAUUGAAAGGGACCUCACAUACUCGAAAUUUCAAACGUUUCUCAUGCCUUAAUGGUGGAUUUCAAAAGACACCUCUAUUACUGCACCAAUUUGGGACUGUUUCUCUCUGAUUUCAGAGAUUCGUGGGUUGGACUUGGCCGAGAAGGGGAGAAUCUUGGUAGGCUAGCGGCAGGGGCGCGACAGCUAUUGCUGCUAGCCCCUCCGAUUUGGGUGAGAGAGAGGAAAUGGGAAGAGAAAGGAAAAAAGUCGUUUGAUUUUGUUUUGUUUUGGGAAGAGUUAUGCUGAUGGAACGUUGCUCCUUGGGAAAGGAAAAGCGUGUAUUUGCCUAGGGGAGAGGAAGACAGUUGUUUGUAUUGGUUCCUUGAUUAAUUUUGAUCCAUGAAUAAAUAUUCUAAAAAUAAUAGUAAAGUAUAUAUAAGCUGAUUUAAAAUUGAUUAUUUUGUUUUUAUGUUUUAGGUUUAUCAUUAAAAGUUUGUAUUAGAAGAGUCAAAGAUAGUAGAACAAAAAUAUUCUGGUCGAAAAAGAAUAGAUCAAUUUUCUUAUUUAUUUUCCUCCAAAUAAGAUGGUCUUUGUUUCAAUGACAAUACUUGUCAAAUUUGUCUUUCGGAGUUUUAAAAAAAAUGUGUUUGUACUCCCAUG
rnacentral:lncRNA from 1 species